rnacentral:rRNA from 1 species
AUUGAACGCUGGCGGCAGGCCUAACACAUGCAAGUCGAGCGGAGCGGCGGAGGGGUGAGGAAUGCCUAGGUAUCUGACUGGUAGUGGGGGAUAGCGUCCGGACAUGGGCGCUAUUACCGCAUACUAUAAGAAGCGCCUAGGUCGGAUUAGCUAGUUUGUGGGGUAAAGGCAUAACAAGGCGAGGGUCCGUACCUGUUCUGAGAGGGUGAUCAGUCACACUGAAACGGAGACACGGUCCAGACGCCUACGGGAGGCAUCAGUGGGGAAUAUUGGACAAUUGGCGCAAGCCGGAUCCAGCCAUGCCGCUUGUGUGAAGAAGUUCUUCGGAUUGUAAAGCACUUUAAGUUGGGAGGCGUUACCAACAGAAUAAGCACCGGCUAACUUCGUGCCAGCCGCCGCGGUAAUUC